ACCCACCCCUAGCUAUUACCAUAUUUCUUUGUGAAAUUUUGUUCACCAAAAAUCGAUAUCGUUCGUCUGUGAUUUGAAAAUUGGACAGUGCCACAUUUGCAUACGUCACAGGAACUAAAACAUGGUGUAAAGGUGACCACUUCUGGUGACACAUAACAUGGUGGCGAGGCUUCAGACUCGACGCGGAGAACCUGGGAUUUUUUACAGGGUUCGGAGGGACGACCACCAGACUUUCAUCCAUUACUGCAAACGUCCUUCCAGCGCAACCACGAGGGACAAUGUGGUGUGUCUUCGCAGACAGGGGGAAGCUUUUGAUGAUGUUGACAACAAGUACCACAUCAUUGUUGUUUCUAAGAAGAAACACUGGGAACACAAGGGACGAAUUCAGAAAUGAAUACUACUCUUCACCAAUGUUUUCUAUCUUAGUGUGCGUAAUUAUAAUCAGUAAACUUCGCACAUGUGUGAACAGUAAAAAAUAACUAUACUGCUCUUCUUAAGUGUAUGCUUCCUACAACUGUUAUUUGAUACAUUAUUGUAUAAUGAUAUUGCCAAAACCUCGUUCAUUUACAAGAAACAUAUGACGGUUCCGAAUACGGGUCUCAUAUAUAGUGAAUUGAAAUAAGUGCAUUAAAACAUCGAGCCAGCAACAGCCAAGUCUCAUCGUCUUU